rnacentral:lncRNA from 1 species
GUAGUGCAGAGGUUUAGGACUUGCUUACGGCUUCUCUCCAGCUUGGAACUCAGCUAUUGAAUGGUGGAGGUUGGAUGCGUUGGAGUCUGAAGCUUCUACAACUGAACCAGCAUGCCAUAUACUAUGGCUGUCACAAAGCCAAUAAGUAUUGUUUGCAGUCAUGGAAGAAGGCGGACUUUAAUCUUGAAUUACUAAUAUA